rnacentral:rRNA from 1 species
GACGAACGCUGGCGGCGUGCUUAACACAUGCAAGUCGAACGGUAAGGCUCCAGCUUGCUGGGGUACACGAGUGGCGAACGGGUGAGUAACACGUGGGUGACCUGCCCUGCACUUCGGGAUAAUCCUGGGAAACUGGGUCUAAUACCGGAUAGGACCAUGGUGUGGAUACUGUGGUGGAAAGUUUUUUCGGUGUGGGAUGGGCCCGCGGCCUAUCAGCUUGUUGGUGGGGUAAUGGCCUACCAAGGCGGCGACGGGUAGCCGGCCUGAGAGGGUGGACGGCCACAUUGGGACUGAGACACGGCCAAGACUCCUACGGGAGGCAGCAGUGGGGAAUAUUGCACAAUGGGCGGAAGCCUGAUGCAGCGACGCCGCGUGGGGGAUGACGGCCUUCGGGUUGUAAACUCCUUUCACCAUCGACGAAGGGUUUCUGACGGUAGAUGGAGAAGAAGCACCGGCUAACUACGUG